GAUGAACGCUGGCGGCGUGCCUAAUACAUGCAAGUCGAGCGGACAGAUGAGGAGUUUGCUCCGCUGACGUUAGCGGCGGAUGGGUGAGUAGCACGUGGAUAACCUAUCUAUAAGACUGGGAUAACUUCGGGAAACCGGAGCCAAUACCUGAUAAUAUAUUGAACCGCAUGGUUCAGUAGUGAAAGGCGGAUUUGCUUCUAGUUAUAGAUGAUUAGGCGCCGCAUUAGCGGGUUGGUAGGGUAACGGUAUACUAAGGCAACGAUGGGUAGCCGACGCGAGAGGGUGAGCGUGCACACUGGAACUGAGACACGGUCCAGACUCCUACGGGAGGGAGCGGUAGGGAAGGGUCCGCAAUGGGCGAGAGCCUGACGGAGCAGCGCCGCGUGAGUGAGGAAGGUGUCCGGAUCGUAAAACUCUGUUCUUAGGGAAGAAGAGAUGUCUAAGUAGCUGGGCGGGUCGUGACGGUAGCUGAAGAGAAAGCCACGGCUAACUACGUG
rnacentral:rRNA from 1 species